rnacentral:rRNA from 1 species
CCUACGGGAGGCAGCAGUGGGGAAUAUUGCACAAUGGGGGAAACCCUGAUGCAGCGACGCCGCGUGAGUGAAGAAGUAAUUCGUUAUGUAAAGCUCUAUCAGCAGGGAAGAAAAUGACGGUACCUGAGUAAGAAGCCCCGGCUAACUACGUGCCAGCAGCCGCGGUAAUACGUAGGGGGCAAGCGUUAUCCGGAUUUACUGGGUGUAAAGGGAGCGUAGACGGCAGUGCAAGUCUGGAGUGAAAGGCGGGGGCUCAACCCCCGGACUGCUCUGGAAACUGUACGGCUGGAGUGCAGGAGAGGUAAGUGGAAUUCCUAGUGUAGCGGUGAAAUGCGGAGAUAUUAGGAGGAACACCAGUGGCGAAGGCGGCUUACUGGACUGUAACUGACGUUGAGGCUCGAAAGCGUGGGGAGCAAACAGGAUUAGAUACCCCAGAAGUC